CUCACCAACUUGGAUUACCUGAAAAAAACAGAAGCAAGUAUGACAGUCAAAGUUUAGUUUAGUAUCAUUAUUUACUGCUCUUUAUAGUAGUUUUUAUUUAUUUAUUUUAUUAGGUAAAAGACCUUUUAAUAUCAUUCUUUUUGAAAACGUGAAGGACACUUUACCCUGUGUAAUGUGUAUAUAUAGUGUGUUUUAUCUGUCCCAACCACUCACACCAGCCAUCAGUACUACAGUCGUAUGAAGUACGAGUUUAUUUUGAUGGUUCAUCAUCAAAAAAUGUUCUGGUAUUUCACUUCAAAUCUGUUUUACCUGCUCUGUAUUUCAGCCAAAUCAUAGCAUUUCAGCAAAUGAUAGCGUCAUGUAAAGCAACCAUUUUGAAUGGCACUAUUCAGUGUUACGCAGCUAUUACACUAUGAUCAGAGUCACGGUGUGAACAAGUGGUCUGAUAUCUCAUCAAUGCUAAAAUGUUCAGAAAGAGACUCGAAUCCCAUUUUUGAGUCCACUUGUAUUGUGAAAACCAAAAGCACUGAGGCCAUUUAAAGCUAGUUCCCUUUCCGGACAAGACUGAGUAUGGCUCAGUGAAAAAGAUAUGUACUUGAAAUGUUUUGAGGGGCGCAUGGCGCUUCUUAGUGGUUAGCACGUUUGCCUCACACCUCCAGGGUCGGGGGCUCGAUCCCGGCUGCUGCCCUGUGUGUGUGGAGUUUGCAUGUUCUCCCCGUGCUGCAGGGGUUUCCUCUGGGUACUCCAGUUUCCUCCCCCAGUCCAAAGACAUGCUUAGAAUCUCCAAAAUGAAUGGGUGUGUGAAUGUGAGUGUGUAUGUGAUUGUGCCCUGCGAUGGAUUGGCACCCCGUCCUGGGUGUGCCCCGUCUUGUGCCUGAUGCUCCCUGGGAUAGGCUCUAGGUUCCCCGCGACCCUGUAGGAUAAGCGGUAUAGAAGAUGGAUGGAUGGAUGGAUGGAUGUUUUCAAGCAGAAAGGCUAGUAGUAAAAUGUAAUACAAAGCGCUAAUACAGCCAGAGCACCAGAGGGCGCUGUUAGCUAGAGAUGUCAUCGCGUUAUCACCUCACAGCAAAACGAUUUAAGGUCAUGUGUGAAUACUGUAGCAGCUAGUCUGCUAAUUAGCUAGCAGAGGUUUUAAAUAGCAAGUUGAGAGAUUUAAUAAACAUAAACAUGAACAUAACCAUUUCUGCACUUCAGGUAGUGACUCCUCAGUGAUACAGCAGGUUUCUCUCUUUAUGCUGCCUCCAUCUCCACCAUGGUGCGUCACAGUAAGCUUCAGAAACAGGUGUUAUCUCUGUACCGUCAGUUCCUGCGUGCUGGACAGGACAAACCUGAUUUUUUACCCAGAAUACGGGAGGAAUUUCGCACAAACGCUGCCAUCCAAAAGACAGAUGUGAUGCAUAUAGAAUAUUUGUGUCGACGAGCCCAGAGGCAGUUGGAGCAACUUCGCGAUGUGAACACCAAACAUCUGGGUUUCUUCAGCAAGACCAAGGAGGGCAACUGAUUUCAAAAUAAAUAAAUAAUGUAAAUUAUGUAUGUGUAAGCUCUAUUUUGGUUUCAUCUGACCAUAGAACCCGAUCUCAUUUGAAGUUCCAGUAGUGUCUGGCAAACUGAAGACGCUCGAGUUUGUUUUUGGAUGAGAGUAGAGGCUUUUUUCUGGAAACCCUUCCAAACAACUUGUGGUGAUGUAGGUGACUUCGGAUUGUAGUUUUGGAGACUUUCUGACCCCAAGAUGCAACUAACUUCUGCAAUCCUCCAGCUGUGAUCCUUGGAGAUUUUUUGGCCACUCGAACCGUCCUCUUCACAGUGUGUUGAGACGAUAUAGACUCACGUCCAAUUCCAGGUCGAUUCAUAACAUUUCCAGUUGACUGGAAUUUCUUAAUUAUUGCCCUGAUGGUGGAAACGGGCAUUUUCAAUGCUUGUGCUAGUUUCUUAUAGACACUUCCCAUUUUGUGAACCUCAACAACCUUUUGUUGCUAUAUAUCACAGCUAUAUUCUUUGGUCUUACCCAUUGUUUUGAAUGACUAAGGGAAUUUGGCCUGUGUGUUACCUCAUAUUUAUACCCCUGUGAAACAGGAAGUCAUGGUUGAACAAUUUCCUGUUCCUAAAAUUUUAAAAAAUAUAAAUGGGAAAUUCAUAUAUAAAUCCAUAUCAUUGUUGCACACCUGUAUUUAACAAAGAUAGUGUGUCAGCUAGAUGCUGUAAAUGUAAAUACGUACAGCCCUGCUGGAAAAUAAAUAGAUACCAUCACAGAAAUUCUAAGGUUUCCACUACAAAUAACAUUACAAACCAUCAGCUAACCGUUAAAACCAUUAACAUUGUUGGUCCUUAAUGGGAUCCACUAGAUAUAACAUUCCACCAAUAGAAGGCAACAAAUUACCAGUAGAGACCCACAGCGACCAUUACAGUUUCCAAUAAAACCUAUACAAUUCCCAUUAUAACCAUUAAAAUUUCUAUGAGGGUUUCUAUUGUUGUUUUUUUCAGCAAGGAGUCGGAUCCAUAAGCAUUUGGAUAGUGACAAAUUGCGUGUUUUUUUUUGUGUGUGUGUGUUUAGUUUUUUUGUAUUUUGUAAUUUGUAAUCAUUUUUUAAAUGAAACAAUCAAGAUGUGAUUGAGGUGUAGACUUUCAGCUUUAAUUCAAGGGCUUUAACAAAGACAUUGCAUUAACCAUUUAGGAACUACAUCCAACUUCAUUCCCUCCAUUUCCACAGGCUCAAAAGUAAUUGGACGAUUCAAAAUUGGCCAACAGUUUCCUUGUUAUUUCAUGAGAUAAAAGGUCUGGAGUCGAUUCCAAGCAUUUAAUUUGCAUUUGGUAGCUGUUCAUGGGAACUCUCGAUAUGUGGUCCAAAGAGAUGUCGAUGCAAGUGAAGAAGGCCAUCAUUAGACUGAAGAAACAACAACAAAACGAAACAUAUAGGACAUUUUUCUUUUUAUUUCGUGCCCGCGAUAUAAUGCACUAAUCGAUUGGAGCCACUAGGGGGCACUGAUACCCGACCGACGCUGUUAAAACUCGACAACAGAGAAAGCAGUCAGUGUAAACAGGAAGUGAACUAGGAAGCAGAAAAAAAAAAUGGCGGAGUCGAGAAAGACAAGCAGCGAGAUGACAGACUCUCAGUUAAUUCAGCAGUUAGCGCUGCUCGGCUGGCUGAACACCGACAGUGUGGAGUGUAAACGGUUCCUCACAGCUGUUACUGGCAUGCAGCUGGCCCGAGAAGUCCUUAAUCGAUUAUCAGGUCAAGGAAAAGUGGACGCUUACAGGAACGAUUGCAUCCAGAGUGUGGCGGAUUUCGUGAGGAGGAACCCCAGAGCCUCUGAUCGGGAGCUGAACGCCGAGGUGAAGAAGAACGUGCUUCUCUUCGCCUCUAGAGUGCAGGCUUUAGACUCCUCACCUCUCUUCUGAACACAGAAAUACUGUGACUUCAGUCUCUCCUCCUCACCCUGCCUUACACUUGUCAGAUUUGACUAAAUAUGUAUAAGUAUAUGAUUCCUUUUUUUUUUUUUUUUUUUUUUAAAAAAAAAAAAGAUGUAUGAAAUAAUAUUCCUGCUUGAAUGUCGUUUUUAAUCACUUCAUUUGUUUAGGCUUGAUAAUAUAAUUGCUAGGUUUACACAAACAUUAACGAACUGAAUAAAGUCUGUCUUCUAAUGCACCUACGUGCACUUAAAGCUUUCUUUAUUUGCGUUGUUUUUCAGAAUGUCUUCACAAACUAUUAAGUAAGGAUAUUUAUAUUCAUUUAUACCACAGUGCUGUCGAAUUCUGGGUUCCGGUGUUGAUUAUUUUAUUUUAAGAGCAGUUCUGACAACAGUGCAGCUGGAAAUCACAGGAUUUAUAUUAAUGCGCCCGUUCUAAUAUGUUACUGUUUCUAUAGUAACUGCUCAUUAACAAGGACUUGUAUUGAGGACGUGCCACAAACAUAUAUUUUUUUUAAAAAUAAAAAUAAGAUGUGCUAUUUACUGAAGAGAAAUGUAUAAUUGUUGAUCUGGUGAGGUUUGUAACAGUCGGAGGUAAAGCCAUAACCUUACAUUUUCUGCUAUGGGAAAGAGUUUAUGCUUUGUGGUUUCUCACUAACAUACAAACUGCAGUUUUUUUUUGUCUUAUAAACUGAAACAGAGAGGCUGGUGAGGGAAUGGCUGUUUAUAGCUGCUAUAACAAGUAGCUUGCAGUAUAUAGAUAACGGAUGUUCCGCAACAUUAAAUGUAGCAAAUGUUUCCUGCAAAACUAAAGAAUUAACCAUCAGCCAUCAAAUGGAGUACGGAGCAAGUGGGGAAUUGUGUACAUUUGAUUUUUGGCCAGUUUAAUGCAUACUGUAUAUAAGAUGUAAAUAAGAGGACAGGAGAAACAGAACAAAAAAAAAAAAAACAGGUGGCGUAGGAAGGGAGAGAAAUAAGAAGCAGGGAGAGUCUGUAAUAAGCUUUGCUUCAUCAUUGUAUUCAUCAAACAGCACCUGCAAUGAAUACCAUUAUGCAGAUUUACAUCUCAGAUCCCUUGAUGACUUUAAAGGCAGUGUCGAGCGCUCGGCCCAAGCAGCUGAUUAGCCACCGUGCUUUUCCAGUGAUUGGAAAUGUGUCUGCAGCUUGCCAGUGAUAGCAAGGAGUUAUAAAAUAAGUACGGCCCUGCAAGAUAGAAAGAACAAGCUUAGAAUAGUAAACUCUUUGAUAUAGCGUCCUAGCUGCACCUGGGCACUUACAGGCAACGGACAGUUCUCUAAUGAUGGAUGGUAUCUUAUGAGCUGCCGGCGCUCAAGAUGAAAGGCAACGUGUGACUGGUCAGAGAGAACAAAGCAGCGCAGUCCCCGCCAGUCUACUGUCUGACCACAAUAGCAGCCCCUCAACACCGCUUUGGGUUUUUCUCAUCCUGGAAACGUCAAACAAAGCAAAGUCUUCAUGUCGGUGUACUGAGAGAGACACAAACAAAGCAAUAUCUGAUAUUCUUCUCCAUAAUUCUGCAAUUGUUGUGACGUCAUGGGGUUUGAAUCAAAUCACGAAGCGCUUGGCUUUUGAUAGAGAAUGUUUAUAGGGUUCCUGGGUAAGUAUUUUAAGGUUGUUCAGGUUCAUUCACCAAUAUAAGCCUGGAAAUUGCUUGCAGGAACUUUGUUGCAAAGUCUCUUAAAACCCAGUUUUAAUAAGAACCCCUAUAGAUUUCUAAUGGAACUUUCAUUUUUAAAAAAAAUUUAUUUAUUUAUUUUAGAAAAUAUGCAUUAUUUAAUGGAUCUUGGAUUGGAAGGGUUUUUACUUUGAACCCGUUAUGAUAAACUUGUAAUGCAAGUCUACCUCGCUCAAAAUAUUUCAAACGUACACUCAAUGGUUCUUCAAGGGUACUUUAAAGAUUCACUGGUUAAUUGAGGGUUCUUGUCUUCCCUUUCUGAACCCUUUGUGAUAAGGAAACAGUUUAGAACCUUUCAUGGUUCUCCCAGAGAGAUAACAGAACAAUACUUAAGAGUUCAAGAUUUUCUCAGAGUGUAUACUACAGCUCCACAUGAAUGAAAAUAAAGACCAUUUAAGAAGGCUCCUGAAACAUGACUGGUUCUUAACAUGACCCAGUUGCAAUAAGAACCCCAAAAGACCCCAAAAGAACGGAGCCUACAACAGUUUUCCGCUA